UACGUAGGCAGCAAGCGUUGUUCGGAGUUACUGGGCGUAAAGGGUGCGUAGGCGGUUGUUUAAGUUUGGUGUGAAAUCUCCCGGCUCAACUGGGAGGGUGCGCCGAAUACUGAAUAACUAGAGUGCGGGAGAGGAGAGUGGAAUUCCUGGUGUAGCGGUGAAAUGCGUAGAUAUCAGGAGGAACACCGGUGGUGUAGACGGCUCUCUGGACCGUAACUGACGCUGAGGCACGAAAGCGUGGGUAGCAAACAGG
rnacentral:rRNA from 1 species